rnacentral:RNase_P_RNA from 1 species
AAAACGCGAAUAUGCGAAAGCAUAUUACCCGAGAGGGUAGGCUAUGGCACAGACACGAUACGCCUGCACGGAAGAUGACUAUGAUGUGGCAGAUUAAAUCUUAAUCUUCUAAUACGGUCUUUCUAUAACGAAAGACAAGAUCAAGUCUUGAAAACGGAUGUUCUUUCACUCCUAUGUAGAAUAAACCUACACCGUAGAUAAAUGCAGUUUCAGCUUUAUGCUGAAGAGGAGUAUCUCGAAUCAAAGAUUUGAGGUUUACAAAUCUACGAUUUGUAAUAAAGAACUGAAGGUUUUUAAUUUAAAAAGCCACUGAGGAUCCGUUGCAGAAACGCUGAAACGGCGAAUCCUCGCGAGUGAAAGUCGUUAGGACGAUUAGACAAAUGCCGCCGAAACAGAAGGGGGCUUACUCUCUUCACUC